rnacentral:tRNA from 1 species
GGGGAUUUAACUCAACAGCACGAGUGCCUGCCUGGGAAGCAUGAGGUCAUGAAUUCAAUCCCCA